UACGUAGGUCGCAAGCGUUGUCCGGAUUUACUGGGCGUAAAGAGCGCGCAGGCGGCUGGUCAAGUCCGAUGUGAAAUCUCCCGGCUCAACUGGGAAACUGCAUCGGAAACUGAUCGGCUUGAAGGUGGGAGAGGGUAGUGGAAUUCCCCGGUGUAGUGGUGAAAUGCGUAGAUAUCGGGAGGAACACCAGUGGCGAAGGCGACUUCCUGGCCUGUUCUUGACGCUGAGGCGCGAAAGCUAGGGUAGCAAACGGG
rnacentral:rRNA from 1 species